UCUCAGUACUAAAUACCUGUGCAAAUAGUAGAGUUUCAUUAGGCGAUGUCAUCUAGUAUGUUUUUACUCCAAGCAAAAACCUGCUGAACAUUAUCUUGCUAUGAGUAUAUGCUGGAGGCAAUAUAAAAGAUAGUUGUGGUCCAAACCCCAAAUCCCAAUCCAUUCCUUCCAGUUCACUCCUCGUGUAAACAGAGUUUCAUGUAACAUUUCUAACAGAAUGGAAUCAUUUGGGGAAGGUAGAAUGGAAAACCGAGUGGGUAGCUUGAGAGAAAAACACUGGAAGUCGUAAUUUGCCUUUCAUAAAUUCACACAAGUGAGAAAUUCAUCUAAAAAUGGAAAUUCUAAAACAACCAGAAAAAAAUGACUUACGAACCAAAUUUUUGUUUCUCUUUCUCUUCUUUUGUAAAAAAUGGCUUCCAUUUGCUGUGACUCCAUCACCUGAAAGGGACCACUGGCAUUGGUAAACACACUCCUGGAGCACAUCUGUCCUUCCAUUCCCAUCAAUCAGCAACACGAAGCUCUCCAUCUGGUGGGAAGAAGGCAAUCCAGCUUCUCGCGUACUUCUCAAAGAAGUCAUAUAUUUCUCCCGUGAAGGAAGAAGAUAAAUAGCAAGUAAAGAAGAAUCUGAAACAAGUUUCCACGUAGACCAGUCCUGCUCUCACUUUUCAAUAUUUUUAACACCCAUCCUGCAUACAUAAAUAGCUAACAUUUAUAACAUAUUGUGCUAUACAUACAAUAUAUAAAGCACUUGUUACUAAUGGUUUAUAUUUGUUCUACUUAUUUAAUCCUCACAGUCUUAAGAAGUUGGUACAAUGGUUGUCAUCCAUUUUAUAGAUGAGGAAACUUUGGCAAAGAUAUGUUAAUUUGUCCAAAGUCACUCAGAUAUGAAGCUACAGAGGCACAACUCAAACCUAGGCAGUCUGGCACCAGAGCCUCUGUGCACAUUUGUGACAUCAAGCUGCCUCUCUGCAGUUGAAUUAAAUAUACAGAAAAUUAGAAAUCAACUAUUUCCAUUCCAUUCCUCAUACUUGAAAACACUAUUAAUCACUACGUUUCUAGGCUUCACACACAGAGCAAGACCCUCCAAAGUUACAAAAAUAAAAUGUUGCUUUAAAAAAUAUAUAAUUUUGAGAA